rnacentral:rRNA from 1 species
UACGUAGGGGGCAAGCGUUGUCCGGAUUUAUUGGGCGUAAAGAGCGUGUAGGCGGCCAUGCAGGUCCGUUGUGAAAACUCGAGGCUCAACCUCGAGACGUCGGUGGAAACCGCAUGGCUAGAGUCCGGAAGAGGAGAGUGGAAUUCCUGGUGUAGCGGUGAAAUGCGCAGAGAUCAGGAAGAACACCGGUGGCGAAGGCGCUCUGCUAGGCCGUAACUGACACUGAGGGACGAAAGCUAGGGGAGCGAAUGGG